ACGUAGGGUGCAAGCGUUAAUCGGAAUUACUGGGCGUAAAGGGCGCGUAGGCGGCCUUCUAAGUCGAACGUGUAAUCCCCGGGCUCAACCCGGGAACUGCGUCCGAUACUGGAAGGCUUGAAUCCGGGAGAGGGAUGCGGAAUUCCAGGUGUAGCGGUGAAAUGCGUAGAUAUCUGGAGGAACACCGGUGGCGAAGGCGGCAUCCUGGACCAUUACUGACGCUGAGGCUCGAAAGCGUGGGGAGCAAACAGGA
rnacentral:rRNA from 1 species